GACGAACGCUGGCGGCGUGCUUAACACAUGCAAGUCGAGCGGUAAGGCCCUUUCGGGGGUACACGAGCGGCGAACGGGUGAGUAACACGUGGGCGACCUGCCCUUAGCUCUGGGAUAAGCCUGGGAAACUGGGUCUAAUACCGGAUAUGACUCCAUGACGCAUGUUGUGGGGUGGAAAGCCUUGUGCGGCUAGGGAUGGGCCCGCGGCCUAUCAGCUUGUUGGUGGGGUGAUGGCCUACCAAGGCGACGACGGGUAGCCGGCCUGAGAGGGCGACCGGCCACACUGGGACUGAGACACGGCCCAGACUCCUACGGGAGGCAGCAGGUGGGGAAUCUUGCGCAAUGGGCGAAAGCCUGACGCAGCGACGCCGCGUGAGGGAUGACGGCCUUCGG
rnacentral:rRNA from 1 species